CCUUCACUUGCACAUGGGCUCCACCAAGGUGCUCCAGCAACUCACGCACGCACACGAUGGCCCAUUCCCGCACAUUCAAUUCACGCGGACCAAAUUCAGCACAUGGACCAAGCUCUCGCGGGCCCGCUUAUGGCCAGCCGUCCCUGCACAUGGCCCGCACACCUCAUCAAUUCACACCUUCCACGGACAGCCCAAGCGCUUCACGCAAUCCCAGCUUCACGUGGACACUCGCGCACUCGAUCCACUCCCAGGCGAGCAAUUUUCCUAAACAGCAGGUUCCUCUGCACCUAUUUAAAGGCUCUUCAGUGGACGAAAAAAGAGGACAUCAAAUCUCUUCCAUUCGGCAAUUCCGCAAGCUCCACCGCCUUCGGUUCUUCUUUCUUUUCUUUUCCUUUUU
rnacentral:lncRNA from 1 species